UGAGGAAUAUUGGUCAAUGGGCGCAAGCCUGAACCAGCCAUGCCGCGUGCAGGAUGAAGCAUCUAUGGUGUGUAAACUGCUUUUGUACGGGAAGGAACCACCCCUCGUGAGGGGUAUUGACGGUGCCGUAAGAAUAAGGAUCGGCUAACUCCGUGCCAGCAGCCGCGGUAAUACGGAGGAUCCAAGCGUUAUCCGGAAUCAUUGGGUUUAAAGGGUCCGUAGGCGGGUCUGUAAGUCAGUGGUGAAAUCUCCCCGCUCAACGGGGAAACUGCCAUUGAUACUGCAGGUCUUGAAUUAUUGGGAAGUAACUAGAAUAUGUAGUGUAGCGGUGAAAUGCUUAGGUAUUACAUGGAAUACCAAUUGCGAAGGCAGGUUACUACUAAUGGAUUGACGCUGAUGGACGAAAGCGUGGGAGCGAACA
rnacentral:rRNA from 1 species